rnacentral:rRNA from 1 species
UACGGAGGGGGCUAGCGUUGUUCGGAAUUACUGGGCGUAAAGCGCACGUAGGCGGCUUUGUAAGUUAGAGGUGAAAGCCCAGGGCUCAACCCUGGAAUUGCCUUUUAAGACUGCAUCGCUUGAACAUCGGAGAGGUAAGUGGAAUUCCGAGUGUAGAGGUGAAAUUCGUAGAUAUUCGGAAGAACACCAGUGGCGAAGGCGGUUCUCUGGCCCGGAACUGACGCUGAGGUGCGAAAGCGUGGGGAGCAAACAGG